rnacentral:rRNA from 1 species
GACUGCCGGUGACAAACCGGAGGAAGGUGGGGAUGACGUCAAAUCAUCAUGCCCCUUAUGACCUGGGCUACACACGUGCUACAAUGGACGGUACAAAGAGCUGCAAGACCGCGAGGUGGAGCUAAUCUCAUAAAACCGUUCUCAGUUCGGAUUGUAGGCUGCAACUCGCCUACAUGAAGCUGGAAUCGCUAGUAAUCGCGGAUCAGCAUGCCGCGGUGAAUACGUUCCCGGGCCUUGUACACACCGCCCGUCACACCACGAGAGUUUGUAACACCCGAAGU